rnacentral:rRNA from 1 species
CCUACGGGUGGCAGCAGUGAGGAAUAUUGGUCAAUGGACGAGAGUCUGAACCAGCCAAGUAGCGUGAAGGAUGACUGCCCUAUGGGUUGUAAACUUCUUUUAUAUGGGAAUAAAAUGUUACACGUGUGGGAUUUUGUAUGUACCAUAUGAAUAAGGAUCGGCUAACUCCGUGCCAGCAGCAGCGGUAAUACGGAGUAUCCGAGCGUUAACCGGAUGUAUUGGGUUUAAAGGGAGCGUAGGUGGAUAGUUAAGGCAGUUGUGAAAGUUUGCGGCUCAACCGUACAAUUGCAGUUGAAACUGGCAGUCUUGAGUACAGUAGAGGCGGGCGGAAUUCGUGGUGUAGCGGUGAAAUGCUUAGAUAUCACGAAGAACUCCGAUUGCGAAGGCAGUUCACUGGACUGCAACUGACACUGAGGCUCGAAAGUGUGGGUAUCAAACAGGAUUAGAUACCCCGGUAGUC